AGUUGGCGCUGAGCAACAAUAAGGGGCGGCCGAUUAUGGAUGGGAUUGGAAGUGCUGUACAGUCUGACCCAGGUGCUGGCUCCUCUAAGCAAGUGACACUGGUAGAGGGAAAUACAGUGUCCCUGUUGAAGCCAGCACACAUGCACACAGUCUCCCACACAGAGGGUGAACCAAACGAUGAAGACACUCUGUCUGUGUGUUCUGAGACAGUUGCUGAGGUGAAUGCACUGAGCUUUUUAUUAUGGCACACAUUUAAAUGUCAUAAUUAAGUGACCCCAUACACAAAAGAAAUAUAUUUGAAAUAUAUUUUCAGAAUAUAUUUUGGAAUGUAUGCAAAUAUUUGAAAUUGGCCCAAUAAAUAUA